rnacentral:rRNA from 1 species
UACGUAGGGGGCAAGCGUUGUCCGGAAUUAUUGGGCGUAAAGAGCUUGUAGGCGGUUUGUCGCGUCUGCUGUGAAAUCUCAAGGCUCAACCUUGAGCUUGCAGUGGGUACGGGCAGACUAGAGUGUGGUAGGGGAGACUGGAAUUCCUGGUGUAGCGGUGAAAUGCGCAGAUAUCAGGAGGAACACCGAUGGCGAAGGCGGUUCUCUGGGCAUGUCCUGACGCUGAGGAGCGGAAAGUGUGGGGAGCGAACAGG